GCCCUGUUUCUAACCACGUGCAUGUAGUUAAUCUCUCCGAGCCUCAGUGUUUAUGAAACAGGAAUAAUAAAAAUGCACACCCAUACAGUUGCGUGAUUAAAUGGCGUGAUGCGUGAAGACAGCUAUGCCUGUGCCUGGCUCAUGGUGAGGACUCGGCGAAUGUGCAAUGUGAAGGUAUGGAUAUUGUAAGUCAGCAAACAGAUGUUGCAUUCUGAGUCUAUGGUAGGAGUCAUUUCCAUGUAUCUCACUUAAAAAAAAUCACAAUAACCCCAGUGGGGGGGGGGGUUGUUGUUAUUAUCUUUACUUUGUAGAUAAGGAAGCCUAGACUUAGGAAGAAGAGUGGCAGAGCCGAGUGAAGCCCCCGGAGUUUGCCAAAUCCGCCAGUGGGGUCUCCCUGCCACACUCACCUGAGCCCAGGUUCAGGGCCUGCUGAGACCCACAGCACGAUGAAGCAAGGUCUGACUGGAGGGUGGACCUCCGGGAGCUCAGCUGGGUAGUGCGAGGCCUCAUGUCAGCCAAUGGCAGCAGGUUUUACUGAUGCUUCUGGAGGGCCCACCCUCUGGAAAUGCAAGCCCGUUGGUUCCCAGGACUGGAAGCCUCAAGCACGUGUGGCCCUAGACCUCAAAGAGGGUUUAGCUGCUGUGGCUUCUCUGGCAACAAAAGCUGUUGAUUUGUUUUUUGAGCCGAGUGGCUAGUUGAGGGCACCAGCCACAACCUGCUCUUAGGAGCUCCUCACUGUGGUCUGCGUGGAGCGCUCAGGGAAGAGCCCCCGUGUGUCCUGGGAUCCCACGGUCUCUUGUUUCUUCCCUCUUGGUUGGCAUGUGGCUGGGGCAGGGGACACCCUGGGGAUUUCGGCGUGAGUCUUUCUCCCUCGCAGGACUGUGCGGAGCUCUCCUGAAGCUGUGGGACCAACCACAUCUGAUAUCAGCUCCGAGGCUGGUCUCCUCCUCUGGGAGUGGUGCCCAGGAGUCCUCACUCCCAGACCCCUGCCCUUUUAGGUCCUUGGUGUUUCCAAACACUCCUUCAGGACCUGUUCCUGGAGAACUUUCUGUAGAUAUGGAUGCAAAUACAGAAGGGUGGGCCCCAAAGCACUUCUGGUGAUUGAAUGUGCUGCCUCUGUGCAUUGCUUUGUCUCUCUCUGUCCACCCCUCACCAGAAUGGAUGCUUCCCAGCUUGGGAUCUUGCCUCUCUUGUCCUCUGAUAUAUCCUCAGUGCCUAGAACACGGUGCUCUACAACAGCACAGAGCAGGGGAGCCACUAUUGAUCCAUGGCUGUGCCCUGGCAACUGGUACAGGGUCUUGUGCUCAGUGUCUGCUUCAUCAGGAGCUGGACCCAAUCACCCACUAAAUGGUCAUUUGUUAAUUACUUAAGGGAUGAAUACUGGAAGUAGAGUGGUGAGGAAAAAACAAGACUCGGUUCCAGACUUCCUGGACUUGCUAGGGGGUAAGAUAAUAAGAGUCACGUAAAUGAAAGGGAAAAUUAUAAUUUUGAUACAGACUUUAAAGGGGAGUGUGGGACGCUGAUUGCAAAAAUGGCCCCAAUUCCCCACCCUUCCCUGCGCGAUGUGACUUUCCCCAGGAAGAAGUGGAAACUCUCCCCACCUCUCGCAUGUGGGUGGCCCGGGAUUUGCUUGGGCCAAUGGGGUGCAAUGAAAGUGGAGCUGUGGCAGUUCCGAGGCCAGGCCUCAAGAAGCCUUGCUGGCAUCUGCUGCCACCAUGAGAACGUGCCCAGGCGAGCCUGCUGCAGAUAAGAGACUGCGGAACGUAGUGGAGUUGUACCAGGGGAGCUGGCCUCCAGCCUGAUCACAGAUACAAGGGCCAGCCCACCUGAGCCUGGCCCAGAGUGGCGGAACUGUCCAGCCUUCUUACAGACUUGUAGAAGUAAUCCAUGGUGGGUGUGUGAAGCUUUGGGGUGAUUUUGUCAAGCAGCAUUACCAUGGCAAUACAUGCCUGAUACAGGGAGAUCCGUGAGAAUGUAUAAUCAGGGAAUGUGGCCAGUCUGGGAGGUCAGGCAGGGCUUCCCUGAGCAAACAGAGACUGAGCUGGGACCUGCUGGCAGAGUGGAGUAGGUGUUAGCUAGGUCAAGGCAUGGGGAGAGAAUUCCAUGAAGCGAGGGCUGUGUGUGCAAAGGCCCAGUGGUGGGAGGAGCACGACCCAUUCAGAAACUGAGGCGCCCAGUGUGGUGGGCGGCAGCAGCAGGAAGGUUGGCUCCCCUUUUCAGGCCCGGAUAAAUAAGCCUUUUCAUUUCCAGGGAACUCGACAUCCCACUUAUCAUGAGCAAUGCUAAUGAUGCCAUGCUCUUCACCCCGAUGUUUGCAUAGGACAGGCCCUGAGGGACUCUGCUUUCAUGGGUCCCAGGGGAACCAAGUGGGUGACCCUCAAUGGCAGGGCUGAAAGUGUUCUUAGAGGCUGUGUGGCCCAACCUGUCCUUUAAUGACUGGGAAGCAGGGGCCUGGAGAGGGAAUGUGGCCGGCCUCGGGUGCUCCAGGGCGGGCCAGGGGUGUGCCAAG